UCAUCUGAUAACAAACAUGACCUCUCUCGUUCUCUUCUCUUUUAGAAAAAAAGUUCUCUCAUUAUAAGAAAUCAGAACUUUGUAAAUCUAAUCAACCCUUUUCGAGUAAUAAGCCCUAAUUUCUUAGACCCUAGAAAAUUACUCUGAUUUUCUACACGUUGGAGACUCAAGAAGAAGAUUCAGAGACGUGACUGCUCAAGCUCUGGUACUGCAAAAAGUUCUUUGAUUGCUUAUACUGUUUGUCAAACCGUCGAUACUUCUACUCGAGAGCAAGUUCUGAAAAACUCAAACCUUUCUUUUAAUUUAAUUUUGUAAUUUCAAUAUGGGUUUUUGUAUGGGGUCCAAGUAUGAUUUAGGGGAUUAUGGUGUGGGGUUGUUUUGAUCUCCGGUAACGGUUGAUGCUGGUAUUAUGGCUUUGCCUGCUACUAUGAAGGUUCUUGGACUUGUCCCAGGGAUAUACUAAUGAUAAUAUUCAUCGCGUUUUUUUAAUGAUAUUAUGAGUUUUUGAUCGAGAUAUUUCUGAGGUUUAGUAAAGCACGGGAAAUAGUUUCUUACAGAGAGCUUAUGGGAGACACAUUUGGAAAGUAUGUGAGGAUUGCAUUGCAGGCUUGUGUAUUUAGCAAUAGCCAUCACCGAGAUCUUUUGAGGAAUUAGGAGGCUGCCAAAGAAGUUAGAUAAGCUGGUCGGUUAGCUGUUCACAAUGUUGGAGUGCUUAUCGUGUACAUGAUUAUCAUCGGUGAUAUAAUUUCUGGAACAUCUGCAAGUGGAACACAUCACUCUGGAUGGUUCGGUGUGCAUUGGUGGAAUGGGCGGUUCUUUGUGUUGCUUUUCACCACACUUGGUGUAUUUUCCCCACUAGCAUUCAUUAAGCGUGUGUAAGCGGGAAGCAACCUUUUUGCUUUAGCUUGUCUUUCAGAACCUUUGCUCGAAGUCCAGGAUUCCGUGUCAAACAGAUUAGGUUUACAAAGUAUCUUGGUUCAAAUACUCACUAGAGAUAUGGGAACAGGUGCUGUUAGGUAGAGUAAUUUAGUGUGUGAAUGUUGUUUUUGGUUAAACUGUGUGGUUUCAUUUUCUUUUUAUUUGUAGGAGUACAUGAAAUAUGAAAAGUUUCAUGCAUGCGCAUUUUCAGCUUCUGCUAAGUUCUCUUCUAGGCUAAAUAUGAAAUGUUUCUUCUUUUUUCUGUUUUGUUUGUGUCUCCUGAGUAUUUUUACUUGUCCUGACUAGCUCAUUGCAUAUAAGUUUUCUCAGUACUUGUUUAGAGUUGGGGGAUAUCUGUAGAGAAGUUGGUCUACCUUCUGGUGUACUCAACAUUGUAACUGAAUUAAGUCCUGAAGCUGAUGCUCGCUUAACAUCUUAUCCUCAUGUUGACAAGCUCUUAACAGUGCAGAGCAAUGGAUUAGGAGCAUAGAAGUAAAGCUUGAGUCUGCUACUGGUCUUUUCCAAUCAGAAAAAGAAGCAUGGAAAAGAGACCUUGAGGAUGUUUAAGAAACCUGGCGAUGUGACCUUCUCAAGCUAUUAUGUUGCUUAUGUUCUUUGUAGCUUAUUUCUUAAAUCAAGCUUGGAAAAAACAAAUACUGACUCAUUGCAUAAUAUCUUGAAGUGAGGUGUAAGGCAUUAGAAACUCAAAGCGAGGUAUUUCAGGCCAUAUCUGGAGAAGGAGUUUGAAGAGCUCAAGUUACAAUAUAAAAAAAAAUUGAAGCUUUCAAAGGCGUGAUGCGCAACAUGCGUCAAUUUCAAGCAAAAAUGCAGCAGAGCAGCAGAUUCUGUGGAGAUUAGAAAAUAAAUGGUGGUCUCGCAAUCUUGGUGCUGGAGAUUGGCAGGUAGUGAGUGACGAAUCUCCUCGGCAAAGUCCAAGGGUUCUUCUCUGUGUUUAUCAUUUUAUUGUAUCUAAAAAACAAAGAACAUACUUGUCAUUCUUUUGACACUACAUACAUAAUUUGUAUGUCCUUAGAUGACAUGUUAUCUAUAUUAUUUAUUCAACAUAUGAGGUGUAUAACUUCAACUUAUCUGGU